GGGCUUGGGGGCUUGCUCCCGGGUUAGUGGCGAACGGGUGAGUAAUAUAUCGGAACAUAUCCGGAAGUGGGGGAUAACGUAGCGAAAGUUACGCUAAUACCGCAUAUGCCCUGAGGGGGAAAGGGGGGGAUCGCAAGACCUCUCGCUUUCGGAGUGGCCGAUACCGGAUUAGCUAGAUGGUGAGGUAAAGGCUCACCAUGGCGACGAUCCGUAGCGGGUCUGAGAGGACGACCCGCCACACUGGAACUGAGACACGGUCCAGACUCCUACGGGAGGCAGCAGUGGGGAAUUUUGGACAAUGGGCGCAAGCCUGAUCCAGCCAUACCGCGUGAGUGAAGAAGGCCUUCGGGUUGUAAAGCUCUUUCAGCCGGAAAGAAAUUGCUUCUAUUAAUACUAGGGGUAGAUGACGGUACCGGAAGAAGAAGCACCGGCUAACUACGUGCCAGCAGCCGCGGUAAUACGUAGGGUGCGAGCGUUAAUCGGAAUUACUGGGCGUAAAGCGUCUGUAGGCGGGCGGGUGUGUUUAAUGUUAAAUCUUAAAGCUCAACUUUGAAAUUGCGUUAAAAACUGCUUGUCUUGAGUAUGGUAGGGGUAAAGGGAAUUCCCAGUGUAGCGGUGAAAUGCGUAGAUAUUGGGAAGAACACUAAACAGCGAAGGCACUUUACUAGGCUAAUACUGACGCUGAGAAACGAAAGGUAAGGUAGCGAAACGGAUUAGAUACCCGUGUAGUCUUACCCGUAAACUA
rnacentral:rRNA from 1 species